GAUGAACGCUGGCGGCGUGCCUAAUACAUGCAAGUCGAGCGAACAGACGAGGAGCUUGCUCCUCUGACGUUAGCGGCGGACGGGUGAGUAACACGUGGAUAACCUACCUAUAAGACUGGGAUAACUUCGGGAAACCGGAGCUAAUACCGGAUAACAUGUUGAACCGCAUGGUUCAACAGUGAAAGACGGUCUUGCUGUCACUUAUAGAUGGAUCCGCGCCGCAUUAGCUAGUUGGUAAGGUAACGGCUUACCAAGGCAACGAUGCGUAGCCGACCUGAGAGGGUGAUCGGCCACACUGGAACUGAGACACGGUCCAGACUCCUACGGGAGGCAACAGUAGGGAAUCUUCCGCAAUGGGCGAAAGCCUGACGGAGCAACGCCGCGUGAGUGAAGAAGGUCUUCGGAUCGGAAAACUCUGUUAUUAGGGAAGAACAAAUGUGUAAGUAACUAUGCACGUCUUGACGGUACCUAAUCAGAAAGCCACGGCUAACUACGUG
rnacentral:rRNA from 1 species